rnacentral:rRNA from 1 species
AUACGGAGGGUGCAAGCGUUACUCGGAAUCACUGGGCGUAAAGCGCGCGCAGGCGGCUAUUUAAGUUGGAUGUGAAAGCCUACGGCUCAACCGUAGAACUGCAUCCAAAACUAUUUAGCUAGAGUGUGGGAGAGGAAGAUGGAAUUAGUUGUGUAGGGGUAAAAUCCGUAGAGAUAACUAGGAAUACCAAAAGCGAAGGCAAUCUUCUGGAACACUGCUGACGCUGAGGCGCGAAAGCGUGGGGAGCAAACAGGAUUAGAUACCCUAGUAGUCC